UUCCUGAAGAGCGAGGUUGGCCCAGGUGGGCGGGGCUUGGUGUAACAGCUCCACUCUCCACUAGGUGGCACUGCUGGCCUCCUGGGGUGGAUCGUUGGGGAGCGUGUAGGUGUGUGUACGCGCAUGCGUGAUAGCGGUGAAAAUGGUGUCCCCCAGCAAUCAGUCUCUAGUACCAGAAUUCUGUUCUCCCCAUCAGCAAUCGCGUUCCCGACCUUUGUCUCCGGCUUCCAUCCACUCCCCGCUUUCACCCAGUCCGUGACCGAGCCCCGAGUAGUACCUCUCUCCGGAGUUUUGUCUCCUAUGCGGCUGUUUCUCCCAACCUCUUACUUGUGAGCGAGGGCGGCUUUGACCUGUCCCGCCCGUCUGCGGGAGUCUCUCACCAGCGAUGGCCGGGUGCCGGCCACACCCAGGAAUGUUCUCGGUACCAGGCUGCUGCCGCUGCUGCCCCAAAACUGUGGCCGGAUGCCAGCCCGCCCCAGAAAAAGUUCUCGAGACAGUGUAGCAGCAGCGCCUCCGGGAUGACGGCAAAUCGCAACACACGCCUGGCGCCAGGCUCCACCCCCAGCGACCUUGUUUCCAGCUCCAGCGAAUGUGGUGGUUCUCCGGGGUCCCCUGGGGCCUUGCCUUUGGUGGCGGGGAGCCACACAGCUUCUACCAGGUGUCCUCCCAGCAGGGGAACCGCCGCUCCCCAUGUGGCCCCAAGACUCCCAGACCCCACUCCGCUCCUGGGGAUUCAUCCCUCCCACCAGAGCACCGCCAGGUGGAGAUAAGUUUGUCGAUUUAAUCAUCUAUACAGCCAGCUCUUGAAUAUUCCCGUGUUGGUACCUAAAGAGGGGAAGCGAGGAAACUUAAAGUCACAGAUGAUUGUAGCUUUUGUUCCUAAGAGAGUGGUAUACUUUCCAGAAAAUGCAAUUACACACACCGUAAUAUUAUCUUACAGGAAGCCCUUGCUUUGCACGGUUCUGAUAUGCCUGGAUUUCAGCUGCCGUGGUUUGGUUAAGUAACACGGGUCCCCAACCACAUUUCAGUUACAACCACAGUAUAUCCCCGGGAGUAAUUGUGUCAAGGCCUUCGCCGCCAGCCCCUCAGUCCGCCAAUCAAUAUGUAAACAGCAGAUGCGCCAGGAUGGACGGCCAAUGACGUCACCGCCUCUUCUCUUUCCCGAUUGGCCUCUGUGGUUAUUGGCUUCACACAGGCAGUAGAGCAGGUGCUUGUGUCCCCACGUGAUCAACCCACGUGACGCCUUACAAAAUGGCUGAGGGAAAGAGCGCGUGGGCCCCGGAAAGGAAUUUGAACUUGAGCGUGGAUGGACUCAGGGAAGGGAGGCCCCCGGGCGGCGUGGCCGUCACUGCUCCUCGAGACCCUGGACGUGCGGCCAGAAAAAUCCGUGGGGACGAAUUGGGUGGCACCCUCCAGGGAAGUGGUUGUCGUGACGAGAACGUGUCAGAGAAAGCGACGCCACCAGGAGACACAGGUGAGGGCGUGCUUGGAGAUACUGCGCCACCUGGAAAGCACAGACGAAACGAAUUUGGAGGAGGAGCCAAAGUUAGGAGGGGUGGGCAGUUCUCAAGGUUAGAAGAGGCUCCCUUCGCGUCCUGACCUGUACCGCGGGAAGGAGGCCAGCGUUCAAAGCACUGUUGGUAAGUUUUUACCAAAAAAUGAAACACGCAUUCUCAGUCAUUUCCUGUGUUUGCACUUACGGUGUAUUAAGUAAUUACAAGUUCUGGGAUUUAUGCAUGUCUUACGCAUGUAUAACUGCAUAGUGUAAUUCCCGUGCAGAAUUCUUAAUCUCUGGGCAAAAGCAUUUAAAGGUCAAGGAAUACAAAUCGUAUUUGUCCCUAUUGAUACUUAAGGUUGGUUUGCACUCUGGCAGCCUCUGUGAUCAUGAGGAUGUGAGAACUACCCAUGUGUGUGUGUAAAUAUGGAAAUAAAAACAAACUCACAUGUG